rnacentral:rRNA from 1 species
GCUACGGGAGGCAGCAGUGAGGAAUAUUGGUCAAUGGACGCAAGUCUGAACCAGCCAUGCCGCGUGCAGGAAGACGGCUCUAUGAGUUGUAAACUGCUUUUGUACGAGGGUAAACGCAGAUACGCGUAUCUGUCUGAAAGUAUCGUACGAAUAAGGAUCGUCUAACUCCGUGCCAGCAGCCGCGGUACUACGGAGGCUUCAAGCGUUAGCCGGAUUUAUUGGGUUUAAAGGGUGCGUAGGCGGUCGGAUAAGUUAGAGGUUAAAUCCAGAGGCUCAACUUCGGAAUUGCCUUUGAUACUGUUCGGCUAGAGAGUAGUUGCGGUAGGCGGAAGGUAUGGUGUAGCGGUGAAAUGCUUAGAGAGCAUACAGAACACCGAUUGCGAAGGCAGCUUACCAAGCUACUUCUGACGUUGAGGCACGAAAGCGUGGGGAGCAAACAGGAUUAGAUACCCGAGUAGUC